rnacentral:tRNA from 1 species
GGGCCUAUAGCUCAGCUGGUUAGAGCGCACGCCUGAUAAGCGUGAGGUCGGUGGUUCGAGUCCACGUAGGCCCACCA